ACAAGCAGCGGAGCGUGUGGUUUAAUUCGUUGCUACACGAAGAACCUUACCUGGGUUUGACAUAUAGGUUGUAGGGAACUGAAAAGGGACCGACCCUUCGGGGAGCCUAUACAGGUGUUGCAUGGCUGUCGUCAGCUCGUGUCGUGAGAUGUUCGGUUAAGUCCGCUAACGAGCGCAACCCUCGCCGUAUGUUAUAUGUGUCAUACGGGACUGCCGGUAAAAAGCCGGAGGAAGGUGGGGAUGAUGUCAAGUCAGCAUGACCUUUAUAUCCAGGGCUACACACACGCUACAAUGGUCUGUACAAUGGGUAGCCAAGCCGCGAGGCGGAGCCAAUCCUGAAAGCAGGCCUCAGUUCAGAUUGCAGUCUGCAACCCGACUGCAUGAAGCCGGAGUUGCUAGUAACCGCAGGUCAGCAAUACUGCGGUGAAUACGUUCCCGGGUCUUGUACACACCGCCCGUCACGUCAUGGAAGCUGGCAACGCCUGAAGCCGGUAUCCUAACCCUCACGGGAAGGAGCUGUCUAAGGCGGGGUCGGUG
rnacentral:rRNA from 1 species